rnacentral:rRNA from 1 species
AUUGAACGCUGGCGGCAAGCCUAACACAUGCAAGUCGAACGAGUGGCGGACGGGUGAGUAAUGUCUGGGAAACUGGCUGAUGGAGGGGGAUAACUACUGGAAACGGUAGCUAAUACCGCAUACCAUCGGAUGUGCCCAAGUGGGAUUAGGUAGUAGGUGGGGUAAAGGCUCACCAAGGCGACGAUCCCUAGCUGGUCUGAGAGGAUGACCAGCCACACUGGGACUGAGACACGGCCCAGACUCCUACGGGAGGCAGCAGUGGGGAAUAUUGCGCAAUGGGCGCAAGCCUGACGCAGCCAUGCCGCGUGAAUGAAGAAGGCCUUCGGGUUGUAAAGUUCUUUCGGUAGGGAGGCGUUACCUACAGAAGAAGCACCGGCUAACUCCGUGCCAGCAGCCGCGGUAAUAC